rnacentral:lncRNA from 1 species
UUUCCAUGCUAUUAGUGACUUACACUCCUCAGUAGCAGCUCUCAAUCCUUGGCAGCCAGAAAGCCACUUCAUUAAGGGGUGACAGAUCUGAGCCACAAAGAACCAACCUGACUGGGGAGCAGAAUGGGUGCUGAGAUGGGAGAGAACACCAGAGUCAGAACAUCACCCGAUAAGAUUACCCCUCUCCAGGAGGGUGAAGGUGAGACUCCAGAAAACAUUUAUUUUGGAAUCAGAGAGAUGAAGCUCCCCUGAGCGGUGCUGGCUCACUCCACCUGGCCCGGCAGUUCUAACUCCUCCAGCCCAGAGCACCUGCGAGCUGCCAGCAUCUGCUCGUUACAUUUAUCCAAG